UGGGGAAUUUUGGACAAUGGGCGAAAGCCUGAUCCAGCCAUGCCGCGUGCAGGAUGAAGGCCUUCGGGUUGUAAACUGCUUUUGUACGGAACGAAAAGGUCUUUUCUAAUAAAGAAGGCUCAUGACGGUACCGUAAGAAUAAGCACCGGCUAACUACGUGCCAGCAGCCGCGGUAAUACGUAGGGUGCAAGCGUUAAUCGGAAUUACUGGGCGUAAAGCGUGCGCAGGCGGUUUUGUAAGACAGAGGUGAAAUCCCCGGGCUCAACCUGGGAACUGCCUUUGUGACUGCAAGGCAGGAGUGCGGCAGAGGGGGAUGGAAUUCCGCGUGUAGCAGUGAAAUGCGUAGAUAUGCGGAGGAACACCGCUGGCGAAGGCAGCCCCCUGGGAUGACACUGACGCUCAUGUACGAAAGCGUGGGUAGCAAACC
rnacentral:rRNA from 1 species